UAUGGAGGGUGCAAGCGUUAUCCGGAUUCACUGGGUUUAAAGGGUGCGUAGGAGGGCAGGUAAGUCAGUGGUGAAAUCCCCGAGCUUAACUUGGGAACUGCCGUUGAUACUAUCUGUCUUGAAUACCGUGGAGGUGAGCGGAAUAUGUCAUGUAGCGGUGAAAUGCUUAGAUAUGACAUAGAACACCAAUUGCGAAGGCAGCUCGCUACACGAAUAUUGACUCUGAGGCACGAAAGCGUGGGGAUCAAACAGG
rnacentral:rRNA from 1 species